AGAUGACCUAAGACACUGACAGCAGAACCAAAGGAGCAACUGAAAGCCAGGAAAGUCAGCGGUUUGCUGCUUGACCUGUUUUUCUCUAGAAAGCUUGUCAGACACCUUUUGGAUGCUUUUCUGUAUCCUCCAGGAAAUAAUUCUUCCUCCUGCACGCAAAGACACACGACAUGCUCAUUUACCCGCACGUGUGCGAAACCAGAUUAACUACUCCAUAAAUUAGUUAGAAGAUUUUCCCAGAGAAAAUGAAGAGGAAAGACAUGUAAUUUCCACUUCUCAACUCCUGAAUGAAUGAAUGAAGAUACUCUGUCUGCUCUGU